AUGAUUUGGCGGGGUCUGACAGGCAGCUUGGAAAACCGGGAAAGGCUCCGGCCUGGGAGGGGAGAGCCACGGGAUGGUCCCAGCUGGGCCUCUCACCAGCUGUGUGGCCGUGGGUGAGUCACAGCCUUUCCUAGUGGCAUGGCCCUUAUCUGCGAAGGGAGGAGGUCAGAUGCGAGGCCUUUUUAGGCCUCUGCAGCUCUGAGAUUCUCGAACUCUGUAACCAUCUCUUUAAAGAUGGAAAGCAGAGAUGCUGAGCUAGACCAGAUGUGGUGGAUAAAGCCAAGAUAAUCAGCCCAGCGGUUUCUCUCUCUCCAGUGCCCUGCGUCAGCAAGGCCUUGGCAGGCUUCACACCCAGCAUGGAGCCCAACACAAGGCUUGAACUCACAACCCUGAGCUCAAGACCUAAGGUGAGAUCAAGAGUCAGAUGCUUAACUGACUGAACCACUCAGGCGUCCCUAGAAGCCAGCUGAUUUCUAAAUGUAUCUUCCCAUCUACAAAAUGUUGUUAUUUCUGGAGAUUUGGACAGUGCAAGAUGGACCAUACAGAGGAAUAAAAGACCAGAAAGUCAUCUGAGCUGCUCCCCAAACUUUAGGCAUACUGCACUGAAACCAGUCUAGACUUCCAGAAAAGAUAAUUCUACCACCUUCUCUCAGAUUCAAAUCACACUGACUGCAUCCUAAGCCCAUUCUCUUUUAUUCUGUGUUGA